CUGGGUGCAAGAUUCUGUCUUCAACUUAGUAAUAACCACAUCUUACGGCAGCCGUCAGCAAUCCACUCACAAACAUCUACAUCUCACUUUCAAGAAACAUCCACGCAGCGCCAGUUGUUUAUAAAUAUUGUAGAAUACAUGUGCGAAUGGCUACGAUUGCGCUGUUACAUUUCGGUGUUAUUGAUUAGGACCAGUGUUGCCAGUUGGUUGGAGACCAUGGUAUAUCUAUAAAAGGUACGGCCUUCCACUCAUCAAUGCGCCCGAAAUGUGCGCACAUUGCUCUCAAAAAAUCGUAAACAUCGGUGUCCGCAACCAUCGAAGUUUCUCCGCUUUUGCAGAUAGUCAUACAGCUAUUAAGGUUUCGCGGCUCAGAAUUUUAAUCCAAAGUUGUCCAAUUAAGAGUGUGCCCAUACCUCAAACUAUCGAUGCAUAUUGUGAUCGAUAUGUAAGAUGGCGAUGUUGAUUUCUGUUUAUUUAUUCACCCAGAAGACAUGCAGGAAAACAAUAAGUACGCCAACGGGAAUGGCAGUAAUAUUGAGGGCAUUAUGGGACCAAUUACUUCCAUGGAAAAACCUAUGCUUAAGUCGGACUUGGCAAAAGCCAUGAGGCAACUGGGCAUGCGCGGCAUACGGCCUCUGCGCAGCUACACGUGAGCGCAUCUUCGCAAGAGCGAGGGUGCCGGCGCUUUCAUUGUGAAUCCCCCAAGCAGCGGACGCUCGUUGGAGUAUGUAUUCGAUAUUCGAUAUGGAACAGGGACGGGACCCCUUUUCCUGGCUCUAAUGCCAGAGGCAAAGCGAAUGCAAGGAGUCGCAAGCUUUUUCCACGUAUUUAUACCAAAAAAUACCGUCGAGGGUGACCAAACGGGUAAUAAACAGAAGCAGGUAUGAUGUUGAUGUUGAUCCGCAUUCAACAUACCGUCGACGGACUACCCAACGCCUAUUCACGUGUGAUUCUUCAGCGAGCCCUGGAAGCACUGUAGAAAAGAUCUGGCAAUUUCUUCAAAAUAUGCAAGAAUGUAUAAACAUCAAGUACUCGUACCUACGUUUCCACGAAUAAGAAUAUACGAAGAAAUAAAGGCCAAUUAAAAUGAUUCACAUACG